rnacentral:rRNA from 1 species
CCUACGGGAGGCAGCAGUGAGGAAUAUUGGUCAAUGGACGAGAGUCUGAACCAGCCAAGUAGCGUGAAGGAUGACUGCCCUAUGGGUUGUAAACUUCUUUUAUAUGGGAAUAAAACGUUCCACGUGUGGGAUUUUGUAUGUACCAUAUGAAUAAGGAUCGGCUAACUCCGUGCCAGCAGCCGCGGUAAUACGGAGGAUCCGAGCGUUAUCCGGAUUUAUUGGGUUUAAAGGGAGCGUAGGUGGAUUGUUAAGUCAGUUGUGAAAGUUUGCGGCUCAACCGUAAAAUUGCAGUUGAAACUGGCAGUCUUGAGUACAGUAGAGGUGGGCGGAAUUAGUGGUGUAGCGGUGAAAUGCUUAGAUAUCACGAAGAACUCCGAUUGCGAAGGCAGUUCACUGGACUGCAACUGACACUGAGGCUCGAAAGUGUGGGUAUCAAACAGGAUUAGAUACCCGUGUAGUC